rnacentral:lncRNA from 1 species
UUUCUCAUAUCUUUUGCUUCCGCCUCGCACUUUUGGUUAUGUCACGCUCACGUGAAAGCCAGCACGCCUUGAUUCUAGGAUCGGGGUGUGUCACUGGCUCUCACAUGUUCCAUAUUAUUUACUUCCAUCUCUUUUUACUAAUAAAGAAAAAUGAACAAAAACCGAAAAUAAGCAAACAGCUCCAAUUUAUUCAACUUCAAUUUUCAGUUUGCCUUUUAUUUUUUCCGUUUUAAUAUGUAGUUGCUAUUUAUUGAAAGUAUUAAAUGCACUAGAGCAUCUCCAAAAGAAAUGUCAAAAUGUCUAAAUAAGUAAUAACGAUAAAAAAAGACAGCAUCAAUGUUUUCUAAUUGAGAAGCCAAAUCUGAUGUGGUAUGACAUGGAAUGACAUCUCUCCCCCUGCCAAAUUUGACAGCAGCUUCAAAAAAAAAUUAAUUAAUUGUUAAAUGCUUUUUAUUAAUUUUUUAUUGGUUUAAAGCUUUACCCUUUAUAUUUAUUUUCAUUACCAAAGCAAUUGUAAAUACUUUUAUACCUUUUAAUUCAUUUUCUUUCAUGACCAAUGCAAAGAAAAGAAAUAUGAAUUUUUAUUUUAUGUUUAAAAUUUGACAUAUCGGGUGGAGAGCAAAAUUUUAAAAGAUAUCAAAGUGCCACUUAAGCUAUUAAAUUUAAAUUUAUGUUUAAAAUUGACAUCUCUUUUGGAGAUGAUCUUAGUGUUGGUUUAAGAUUGUAGUGCUUAAAAAAAAAAAGUUUAUAAAAAAAUUUGAAACAUUAAAUGUGUUUGGUAAAACCAAAAAAAAAACUUUUUUGAAAAACUGCUAUCAAUGAAAGUAGAAAAGCAGAAGCAGAGUCUACCGUGCUUCUAAAAAAAUGUUUUUUUUUUCAAGGCAUAGUAAUCAAUGCUCAUUUAAUGAAAUUUUCAAAUGGCAAGUAUGCCCCCACAUGUUUUACAAAAUUAUAAUUUUUGCCUCUACAUUAUGUCUUUGACAAUUAUUAUUACAUCAUUUUUAGUCAUUUAACAUAGUUAAAGUAAUUUGUAUAAAAGUUUAUCAAACAUUUAGACAUUUUUUUCUAAUAAAACCACUUUUACAUAAAAAAAAAAGUUUACCAAACACUCAACAACUUUAUUUUACAAUUGUUUAUUCUCACUGCACAUCAAAAACAAUUUUUUUUAAAAAAGCACUUAAAUACUGUUAUGAUUAGAGCAACUCCAGCGUAUCAAGGCCCCCUAAGGCAACUUCUUAUUGAAUAGCCUCUAGUGAACAGUAACUGCCUUUAAUGAACAGUAAUUGCCUUUUGCAUCUCCAUCCCUAAAUUGAAUAGUCAUGGCAAUAUGCAAUAAAAUAUUAGUAUUUUUUAUUUUAUAAAAUAAUAAAAAAUAAUUUUAUUUCAAGGGUUAAUCUCAGUUUACUACUCAGAAGUUUCAUGAUUUUCAACAUUUAGUACAUGAAGUUUUUUUUCAUCCCAGAGUGGUACCUAAAGUCAUAAUCUUGGGACACUUUCAUACAUCCGUUAAGGUUGUUGUUAAAUCAAGCGUUAACUGAUGACGUGGCAUACACGUGGACAAUGACUAGGCACCACAUGGAUAUUAAAAAAUAAUAAUAAUUAAAAAUAAAAUAAACUAAUAAUAAUUAAAAAUAAAAUAAAAUAAUAAUAAUUAAAAAUAUUUAUAAUUUUAAAAAAUAAAUAAUUAAAAAAAAAAAACGCUAAAAGAUACCCUCAAAUCCAAUCCCACCGUUUCAAUCCCCAUCCACACUUCCUGCAAUCAACCCUCAUCGCCAGCGACCCUCAAAUCUAACCCUAUCAUCUUCUUCUUCAAUCAUCGUCACUCUCCCCGCGAUUGCAACUCAAUUGCUCCCGAUAUAAAACCACUGAUCAUGAUCGUACUUUGACAGCGUUGUUUGUACCAUACUUAGGACCUCCGUAUUUAGACCUCGUAUAAAUACUCGGAGGACUCAAAUGUAAUUAUGUAAUAAAUGAAGGGGCAAAUAUGUAAUAAGUGAGAAGUUCUUAUUCUAUAAAAGGGACUCCUCACCCUCACAAUGGGAAGAGCCCUCUCACCCUCAAAGGCUCUCUCCCUCAUAAUCCUCUCACAAACAGAGAAAUACAAUAUCAGUGUGGACGUAGCCCAAACAUUAGGGUGAACCACGAUACAUCUUAUGUUCUUUACUUUCUUGCAGAUUCACGGUCGGAUUUACGUUGUUCCAAGACCCCUUCGGUUUUGUGCAUCAACAUUUGGCGCUGUCUAUGGGAAACGACACGAAAAGCUGUGUCGGUUCUCUUUCAUUUUUUCACCUCUGCCGUGAAUCUGCAAAAACCCAGGAAAACCAAAACCAAACUUCUGCCCGCAGCUCCAGUCCCUCAUCAAAUCAUCGCAUCCCCUUCCUCUUCGUUUCCUAAUUCCCUUCCAAUUUGAAAUUCAAAACCCUAAUUUAUCACUCAACGUCACCUUAAUUCCAUGCCUAAAUUCUUUUUUUUUUAUUUCUCACUGCGAUCCCCAAUUCAGUUCCAUGGAGGACGAUACGUCGUCCUUCUCCUACCACAAGCUCUGUGACUUCCUUUACGCCGUUCUUACUGUCACUUUCUCCCCGGACCACCGCCAAAUCCCACCCUUCGGCACAUGCUUCUGAAUUUCCCAAUGCGACAUCAAUUUCACUUCCCAAAACGACGUCGUCCUUACCCUCAUUGACCCAGUUCCCAGCGCUGAUGUCUCGGCUGAGGAGCUCAAGCAAUGUGAGGUUCCAGUAUGGAAAUUGGGGAGGAAGAGAAAGGUCCCGGUAGUGGCGGAGAGGAAGAUUGGGAUGAGGAGGAGCAUGAGAAGCAUAGGGCUGGUGCACGGAAGCAUUAGCGUGGUGCACCAGCUCCACGCAUUGGUUGUGAACAAGUGCUUGAGGAUCGAUGCUCGAUUGGUUCGGGUAGAGGCCGAAGACAGUGGAGAGGUCAGGGUUGUGGUGCUGGUCGAUGUCUAUCUCCCUAUUGCAAUGCUGGCUGGUUGGUAGUUCCCGAGAUCAGGCUCCGUUGCCGGAACUCUGUUUCAACAUUUGAGUUCUGACUGGGGAGAAAGAAGUGCAAUGCUCAUCAAUGGAGAUUAUCUUGAAAGUACUCUAUGAGCUGACAGAAGCAUAUGGAAUUUUUACGAUUGUCAUGUUUUUGGUUGCAAGCUGCAUCAUGACUUCACUGAUUCUUCGUUUUCUUCCCGUCGGCCAUUUCCAGCUCAGAAGCUCCCAGUCAGAGUCAGAAGCUCUUAUUUUCCCUCGAAACAUUCAUUUUUUAUUCGUGAGUCUAGGGAAUAUUCUUGGAUGGUGUAACAUCUUGUCAUCUGGUUCAGUGUGCCAUCUCCUUUAAUCAUUGCCUUCAAUGCACAAAAGCAAGAAAAUCAUCAACCAGCUCUGAGAAAGCAAAAAUGGAAUAAAAGAAAGAGGAAAGAGUUGGAGAGUAACGUGCAAUCUGCUGUUAAGUGGGCUUGCUGGAUAAAUGAACAUAAUAGAAAAAGAAAAAAAAUCAUGAUGUUGUUGAGAGAAUGUUUCAGAAAAAGAAAAAGAGGAAGAGUAGAAAACAAAAGCGAAAGCAAAGCAGAAAAAACCGAGAAAAAGCAGAAAGCAAAAGGGAAGCUUUCCUCUGCGAGAGCACAUGGGGACACUGUAAAAGCAAGGAAUAAACCCCUCCACCAGAAUGAUGUGAUUUACUUUUCUUGUUUUUGAAUGAUGUGAUUUAUUUUUCUUAUCUUUCGGAGACAUCUGUAUAACCCCAUCAGAGGGUAAAAAAAAAAAAUGGCAAGCCCAAAGUAAUGGGCUGGAAUGUUAUGUGGAGGGCGAAGACCCAUAUGCCCAAAAGAGCCAGGUCCUCUAUUAUCACCAACCAGAUGAUCAAAAGUACGCCCAGUACUCUAAAAUUAUUCCGCGUGAUCAAAAGUACGUCCAAUACUCCAAAUUUAUUCGGCACCCUACUGCUAUUAUCACCAACCAGGUGAUCAAAAGUACGUCUAGUACUUCAAAUUUAUUCGGCAGCCUGCCGCUAUUAUUACGAACCAAGUGAUCAAAAGUACGCCUAGUACUCCAAAAAUUAUUCGGCAGCCUGCCGCUAUUAUCACCAACCAGGUGAUCAAAAGUACGUCCAGUACUCUAAAAUUAUACAUGAGCACCACUCAUGUCAAUCAUACAUAAACAUUCAUGAGCAUCAUUCAUGUCAAUCAUACAUAAACAUUCAUGACCAUCACUGAUGUCAACAUUCAUGAGCAUCACUCAUGUCAACAUCCAUGAGUAUUACUCAUGUCAAUCAACAUAAACAUUCAUGAACAUCACUCAUGUCAAUCAGCUUCGAAAGCUUAAUUUAUAGAGUUCCAGCUUCGAAAGCUUCAUUUACAGAGCUCUAGCUUCAAAAAGCUUCAUUUACAAAAGCUCCAUUUUUGGAAGCUUCAUUUACAAAGCUAUGACUUCAAAGCUUCACUUACAAAGCUUCAGUGCAUGAUAUACAAAGACCGCCUCCAAACAACCUCCACUUCGGUCCAUACAUGGAUUCAAUUUGAAGUUUCCAGCCAACAUACUCUAUUGACUGAAGACUUGGGGGACUACACUAUGUACCAUAUAUUGGGCUUCCGCAACUGGGCCUCAUGAAAAAUACUUGGGGGAUUUAGCCCAUUAUUUAUGUAUUGAGGAACGAGCCCUUAUUUUAUAAAAGGGACUCCUUCACCAUCAUUAGAGAGCAUCAACUCUAGCCCAUUAUUUAUGUACUGAGGAGCGAACCCUUAUUUUAUAAAAGGGACUCCUUCACUUUCAUUAGAGAGCACCCAUUAUUCAUGUACUGAGAAGCGAGCCCUUAUUAAAUAAAAGGGACUCCCUCACUUUCAUUAGAGAGCACCCAUUAUUCAUGUACUGAGGAGCGAACCCUUAUUUUAUAAAAGGGACUCCCUCACCUUCAUUAGAGAGCAUCGCCGCCAGCUGAGCAACCGCUUCGCCGCGAGCAUCACUUUUAACCCAUCACUUAUGUAUUGAGGAGCGACCCCUUAUUCUAUAAAAGGAACUCCCUCACCAUCAUUAGAGAGCAUCGCCGCCUGUUGAGCAACCGCCUCGCCGCUAGCAUCAACUCUAACCCAUCAUUUAUGUACUGAAGAGCGAGCCCUUAUUCUAUAAAAGGGACUCCCUCACCUUCAACACCACAAGCUGAGCCAACCAAGGCAACAUAAGACACAAGCAGAGCAACCUUGCAACAUGUGCUACUUAUAGUUGAGCAUCAUUUCAGAUUGAGCACCGUCUCAUAUCGAGUAUCAGUUCAAAACGACAUCUAGUUACUUCGGCCCACACAUAGACUGAAUUUCAAGUCUCCAGCCAAAAAACUCUCUUGACUGAAGACUUGGAGGAUUACUGUUUGUACCAUACUUAGGGCCUCCGUAUUUAGACCUUUAUAAAUAAUUGAGGGACUCCAAUGUAAUUAUGUAAUAAAUGAAUGGACAAAUAUGUAAUAAAUGAAAAGCCCUUAUUUUAUAAAAGGGACUCCUCACCUUCAUAAUGGGAAGAGUCCUAUCACCCUCAGAGGCUCUCUCCCUCACAAUCCUCUCACAAAUAGAGAAAUACAAUAUUAGUGUGGACGUAGCCCAAACAUUGGGGUGAACCAUGAUACAUCUUGUGUUCUUUACUUUCUUGCAGAUUCACGGUCGGAUUUACGUUGUUCCAAGAUCCCUCCGAUUUUGUGCAUCAACAAGCGUCAUCACCAGAUUCUCCACGAAGAACACUGUGUCGUUGUCGCCAAACACGAAAAGUGGGAGGUAUCACCCGAGAUGACGACCGGAGUGACAAACUUUUCGUCGAAAGAGUUGAUUGGUGCGCGAUCAAGAAACGCAAAGGUGCGGGUGGAGGCAGGGAGCACCAGAGAAGAAGGUAGGGCUCGCGGUGGGACCAGGAGCGGGAGGAGGCGACGACGAAGACGAGGUGGCGGCACGUGGUAGAGAAGGAAGUGUAGAUGGAAAGAAGGGCUGGCGGCUCGUGGAGGAAGAUGAAGUAGAGGUUGAGGAAGACGGAGAGGAAUAACAUGAGGGCUUUGAAGCGGGCGAGGGUUAAGGUUCUGGGCAUUACGGACGGGAGGGAGAGAGAGAGGUAUCAAUAUUGGAUUGCUUUGCAGGCGGAGUUGGUUUUUCGUUUGAUUUUAUGGUACAUUUAAAAAGUUACAGCGAAUAUGAUGAAACAGUCGCAGUCGUGAAAAGAAUGACGAUGAUUGAAGAAGAAGCUGAUGAAUUCAUUUGUGUGUUUUUAGGGUUUUUUUGUUUUUUAAAUAUUUUUCAAUUUUUAUUAAUUUUUUUAAUAUCCAUGUAGCGCUCAGUCAUUGUCCAUGUGGGCACCACAUCAUCAGUUAACGAUUGAUUUAACAGCAACCUUAAAGGAUGUAUGAAAGUGUCCCAAGAUUAUGACUUUAGGUACUAUUCUGGGAUGAAAAAAAUUUCAUGUACUAAAUAUUGAAAACCAUAAAACUUCCGGAUAGUAAACUGAGAUUAUCCCUUAUUUCAAAUUUCGGAUAUGAUUUUUAAUCAGUCUCGUUGUACCACAUUUCAUUAAAUAAGAAAUUACAACCCAAAGUAUUUGAGAAAAUAUAAAAUUAUGAUGUAAGUGGAAGAUAAUGAUAUGAUAUUUAUAUAAAAAUUAAAUCUUUUUUUAUUUUUUUCGGAUUUUUCGGAUUUUUUUAUUAAUUGUUUACAUUUUUUUUUACAUUUUUAUUGCUUUUUUUCAUUUGUUAUUAAUUUUAACUAAUUUUAUAAUGUAGCUGAUGUCAUACUGACGUCAACUUUGCAUCAUGUGGCCUCAGGCUCUCGGGCCACCAAUUCGAGCCUGGCCUCUCACUCGGGCCUCCCUCGAGCCUAAUCGCCUGCAUGGGCUGGAGCUACUAGCUGGGGCAAUUGGGUUGGAGCAACAGCCAGUUCACCGGGCUAUUGAAUACGGUGGAGCUGCUUUUAGUUAUGUUCUUUUCCAACGUCUAAUUCCAAUUAAAUAAAAAGUUGAUUUUUUUUUUCGUUAAAAAAGGUUCAAAUAUAUUUACCCUAAAACAUUCAAAGUUAAAUUAAUUGGUCUGAAGUCCUUUUCCUCCUUUGUCCUUGUGUACUAUGUACAUAAAUUUGCCUGUGUAUCAGACACGUAGCUCAGAAUGCUAAACGUAGUAAUAUAAUUAACUAUAAUUAUUAUUUUGCGGCAGUUAAACUUGAAAGAAAAUAACUUUUCAACCAAAUAAAUUGUAUUAGACACUUUAUUAUAUCAAAUCGUGUGCCUACACAUCAAAAUAUUCUCAACGUCCCCCACCUCAACACCCCACCAUUCCUCUAAUUUACCCUUUUCACCCCUCCUUGACCUCCGCGCCCGGGCCCACAGCUCCCACCCUAUAAAUCUCGACGCGGAGGACUUAAAAUUCUCGUGUCGACAGGAGCCCAAAAUCGUCAUUCAACCUGGCAGACUGGUGAGAGAAUAGAAGAGAGAGUUAAGAGACAAACGUUUAGGAGUUUUUAGAGAGAGAGUGUGUGUCCUAGAGAGAGAGAGAGAGAGAGAGAGAGAGACUCGUGGAGGGUCGCGGUGUGCGAUGCGUGGAGGGCAGGUGCUGAGUGCCCAGACAGAGAAACACCGAGAUCGCGCUCUUGAAAAUGGCGGAUCGUCAUCCCAAACUCUCAAUACUCUGAACCAGCUUUCAUCGUCUUCCUCGUCGCUCUUCCCAGAUCACCGACUUGCAGGUCCUCUCUCUCUCUCUCUCUCUCUCCUCACAUUGUCUGCAAUUCUCUCUCUCUCUCAACGGCAUUGCAUCGAAUUCUCUGUCUCUACCCAUCCCUUUCAUUUUUUUCACGUGCUCGUACCAUCACAUCGUCACGGGUUCAUGAUUACUGUGUCAAAUUUUGAAUUUUGGUUUAAGCAUUUCGAUUUUGGUAAUUUGACAAUGAUGUUUGUUUGAGUUUUUGCAGAGAUGGCUGAGGCGGCGAAGGUUCUGUACAUCGUGGUGGUGGACGAAGAGGACAAGAGAGAGAAAGGGAAGGAGUCCUUUCGCUAUACGCGUCCUGUUUUGCAGAGUUCUCUGCAACUCAUGGGCUGCAAGCCCCGCCACGCCUUCAAGGUAUCGAAAAAGUUUUGAAUUUUGAAAUUUCUGUGAAAUUUUAGAACUUUUUGGCUUCUGGGUUGUGUUUUUGGUGUGGAUUUGUUGUUGAAUUCAUUGAUUUUGGGGACAGAUCUGUCGUUGCAUGUAAUGUGUUCUGGGAAUGUUCUGAAUUUGUCAAUUUUUGAAGGCUUGAAUGUUACAUGUUGGUGUUGCAUGUUUAGGUGAAAGAAUUCUUUUAAAUUUCGGGUCAACGGAGGCAUAUCGGAACUGGUAUUUUAGUCAGUGAAUUAGUCUUGGUUGUGCAAUUGGCGUUCUAUAGAGUCAACCUUAUGAGUCAUUAUCACAGAUUAAGUCCAGCUUCUUCUUAAUUUGCUUUUCAAAAAGGUGGGUUAUGACCGUUAUAUUGUUCUUGUGUCACCUUCGACUUGACCUGUUAAAAACUAUUCUUCUGGUGGAGGAUUUGAUUAUUAUUGUUUCUGAACCAUCUUAACUUGUGAUCUUAUCAUCCUGUUCUCCAUUUUACUUUUUAUUUUUUCCUUCAGUUUUGGUUCUUUGGGAAGUUACAUUUUAACAGUUGACCUUUUUAGUGGAUCUCUAACCAAUAAUCUCUGUUGACGUACAUUGUUAUGAGAGUGUUUAAUUGUCAACUCUAGAAGAACCUUAAUUUUGAAAUUUCCUGGUUUAGAAAGAUCUCCCGUGUUGUGUUUCAUGUGUUUGACCAAUGUUUUGAGGGUUUGUUCAAUCUGGAUGUAAAAGGGGGUUUGUUUUAUGCGAGAAACCCCUUGAACUUUGCUUACGUGUUGAGUGGUGUGGAAUAAGGGAGAGUGGAAACCGUUUUAACUGAAUGGGAGUUCCAUUUAGGUUUGUUGUGUGCGAGAACUCCCUUGAACUUUGGCUAUGUGCCGAGUGUUGUGGAAUAAGCGAGAGGGUAAACAGUUUGAUUGAAAGAUGUUCUAUUUAGGUUUGAAUAUAAUCUAUGCUUUUCUUUGCUGUUUAUAAUUUGUUUCUUCUAGCUGUGGUAAUCUCAGGGAUCAUGCUUUUUAAAGCGUUGAAAUGUGUGGAACAGUACUAGAUUCACUUUCCAUUAAUCUUGUAUGUGAUUUGUGUGUCUAAGGAGCUUUAUGUUUCAACAUCAUUCAAGAAUAUGCAUUGUUUUAGCGAUGUCUACAUUAACUGAAUGGAUCUGUAAACUUUUAUCUCCUAAUCAACUUUUGGUUCCAGUAUUUAGUUUGUAAGACUCCAUUGUAGCAUUGUACAAUAGCUUUGGUGCUUUAGUUUAGUUCUUUAUAAAGUGAUUUCUUUAUUGUGUUUUGGUGUAGGUAUGGUCUUUAGUUUUAUUUAAAUAGGGUUCAUGACCCUGCUUAAAGCGGGAGCCUUGUGCACUGGGUACGACCUUUUAGGGUUCAUGUGGGUCAUUUGGUUCAUUAUUAGAAUAAUCUUUCUGAUGAUAGUGUAUUGUGAUGUUUUUUCGGAUUGUACUGAUUCCCAUGUUUUAUUUUACUUUAGAAAUUUAACCACUAAUGCCUGACCUAUUUUUCCUUUGAUCAGAUUAGCCAACGGGUUUUCGAAUUGAUAAGAAAUGAGAGUUCAUCUAAUGUCUUGCUGCCAGAAGGAACAGAAAAUGUUCCCCCUAGUAAAGAUGAGGCUGGAAACCAUUUGGGUUCAGGGAAAGAUGAUAGAAGCAAGAGUGUUCCUUUUGAAUUGUACAAAGCACGCACGACUGUUGUGGUUAGGAGAAAAACCUUCUUAGAUGUUGUUUGUGAUGCUCUGGCUGAGUACAAGUAUGUUGGUCCCAACCAGAGGGCAGACUUAGCUUUGGCAUGCAGGUAUGGAGGAGUCUUUUAUCUUUAUUUGAAAUAAAUGGAACUUACAUACAUGCAUUCAUAUAUAAACUGCAUUCUGUGAAUAGUUUCCCUUUCCUGGCAAUCUUUGCUUACAUUGUGACAAUUAUUUCACAUGCCGUGUUAACAUUAUGCUUUGAAUGAAAUAUGGAAACACAUAUUUUAUAAGCCAUAACAGUGUGGAAAUGUUUAUGGUAACAUUACUGUAUGACUUAUCAGGAAUGUUUUUGAACCUGUAAAGUAACCGUGAUCUUUUGAACUGUUUCUGUGGACCAGUGACAUAAUAAUUAGUUAUUUUUGUGUUACACCAAUCAAUUGAGUUCUAGAUUAUAGAUGGAGGGGUUUUCGUAAUGCAGCUAGAAUGGGAAGAUGAAAUCAUUGUAGAUGUUGGGAUUUUAAAAGGGAAUAUUCUGUCUUACUGUAUGACCUUGUGAUCUUUUUUUUUUUUGCCAUCUUUAGAGUUAUAAUUUCUGCUAGUUUCCUAAUUUUUAUUUGGGUAAUUGUUUCCUUGCAGAAUCAGGGAAAGGAAGGAAUCUGUGACUGUACUGUUGUGUGGCACUAGUGGCUGUGGAAAAUCUACUUUGUCCUCAUUGCUGGUAUCCGAGUUCACUAGUUCUUUGUUUUCAUGAUUUCCUUUUGGGUUUUGUGUAGUCUUUAAGUGUUGUAAUGAUGUGCUUUUACUACGUCUUUUUAAUGUCUGUAGUGUAGUAUUUAAGUGUUGGAUGAUGUAAGUUUUAUGUUCUGUUACGUAAAUUUGUUUUGAAUGUAAUCUAUAAAAUUUUGCAGGGUAGCAGGUUGGGAAUUACAACUGUGAUAUCUACCGACUCAAUUCGGCACAUGAUGAGGAGCUUUGUAGAUGAAAAGGAAAACCCUCUGCUAUGGGCUUCAACCUAUCAUGCAGGGGAGUGUCUGGAUCCAGUGGCUGUUGCAGAAGCCAAAGCUAAAAAGAAAGCCAAAAAAUUGGCAGGAACUCCACACUCACUUCCCAAAGAUGGGAUGCCUGAUGGCUCUGCCUUUGGGAAAUCUGAUACCCGAUUGUCAGAUGUCGGUUCGAGUACUGCUGAAUUGAUCAGCCCAAAGCAGAUGGCUGUUGAAGGGUUUAAGGCUCAAAGUGAGAUGGUGAUUGACAGUCUUGAUCGCCUUAUCACUGCGUGGGAGGAACGGAGAGAAUCAGUUAUCGUGGAAGGUGUUCACUUGAGCCUUAAUUUUGUGGUAUGUGUCUAUAAUGAUCUUUCCGUAUGUUGUUUUGUUUUUUCGUUGUUAAAUUUAGUUGCGCCUCUCCCUCUCAAUAAUUAUUUGAAUUCCAGAUGGGGCUUAUGAAGAAACACCCUUCUAUCAUUCCAUUCAUGAUAUACAUUACAAAUGAGGACAAACACAUGGAACGAUUUGCUGUCCGUGCAAAGUAUAUGACACUGGACCCAACAAAGAACAAAUAUGUGAAGUAUAUCCGUAACAUCAGAACAAUCCAAGAAUAUCUCUGUAAGCGAGCUGACAAGCAUCUUGUCCCCAAAAUUAACAAUACUAAUGUUGACAAGAGUGUGGCAGCCAUCCAUGCAACAGUUUUUAGCUGCCUCCGUAGGCGUGAAGCAGGGGAGCAACUUUGUGAUCCCACAAGAAACACAGUUACUGUAGUGGAUGAGGAGUAUAGGAACCAGUGUGCAGCCAAUUCUUUGAGUUCUAAGGGGAUGUUUCAGCUGAUCCAGAGAAAAGGUUCGUCUAGGCAUUUGAUGGCUCUUGUAAAUACUGAUGGAUCUGUGGCCAAGGCUUGGCCUAUUGAUUCAGUUAAUAGUAAUGGGAAGCCUAUAUUUUGCCAUGGGACUGAGAUGGAGAUUGGAACCGCAGAGCAAGUGAAUCUUCAGUUUGGUCUCUAUGGGAUCAGUGCUUGGCCCAGUGAUGGUGGACCUAGUUGUGCUGGAAGUGUUGAUGAGUCGAGGGGUGAGGGAACUGAGAUUGGAAGAAGUAUUCCCUCUUCUUGCUGCAGCUCCCCACGGAUGUCUGAGGGACCUGCCAAAGAGGUAUUUUAUAGCACCAAUUUCAUUUUCUCCAGAACCUCUUCUAUGACAGUAUUCUUAGGUAGGUGUAAGCUGAGACUUGCUUAACAAGUUAUCUAAAUUGGCGGAUGAGUAAUCGUAGAAAUUAGUGGCAAAGGCCAACAAUUUAACUGUCUGGACAAUAUAAUAAGAUUUGAACGAUUUGUUCAGUUUAGUUUAUCUUCUUGGAUUUCUCGUUGUUUUCUUUCCUUCAGCUGAAGGAGGACAAUUCAGUGCAUGGAAGUGACGAAGAGGUUGAAGAAGAGGCUGAUGUAGGCAGUGAUGAAGAACUAAGUGAUGACGGUGACAAACGACUGUAUGAAGAGGUAUAACAAAUUGGUUUGUUUGAAAUUCUAGACAAUAACUUGAACUUUAUCUACUGAGGUCAUAUAUAUAUUAUGAGCAUUGCUAUAUUUAGGUCAUGGUAAAGGUCCACACAUACAUGUGCGUGUGUGUACAGAACUUCUGAUCUUAAAUGAGGUUAUAUCUGAUCAAGGCUAAUAAAUUUGGGGAACUUUGUAUGUUUAAACUGAUAUAAUCCUGGUUAGAUCAGAUGGGAGGUUGAAACUCAAAACUUUUUGCAAGAAUUAAUUGUUUAAUCUUUUUACUAUUGUGCAGAUAGGGUCGGUGGAUGAGGAGUCUACGAAAACGGAUGAAGAGUAUGAUGACUUAGCAAUGCAGGACGUGCAGGGAAAUGGAUACUGGUUGGAGAAUGAUGAUCGGGGAGCUAAUCACCCCAUUUCUGAGGAUCAAUCAGCCGAUAAAGAAGGGGAUAAGUAUCGCCAGAACCUGGAUCUCUUCCUUAGAACUAGAUCAGAGUCAUUUUCUGAACCAUUCUGCUCAUACUCUUCUGUGUUUAUUGAGAAGAAUGAGCUUUCAAUGCCGUGCUCUGGCAAUAUGAAAAUUAGAAAACGCCGCUCCCUUAGCAUUCCCGCCUUGGGAAGGCACGGGUCAUUAGUCGGGGGUCCCAUACUUUCGGGAGCCCCUCAGUGCUAACGCCUUAGUUUUUAUGGACCUUAGUGCUCUCAUCACCCUGUCAUUUUCUCCCUUUCUCUUUGUAGCCCGCCCCUUUAGCGUAUUUAGUGAACUUAAGUCCCCCGUAUCUGUACAGUAAUCUAUUUAGGAAGUUGCAACGGAACGUAUUAUAGUGUACUCAUUAGCUAUGAAUCUAUGGUAGAAUGAGAACAUGAUUUUAUGAGUAGUAUGGGAUGCAUAGAAUGAGCUCAAGAUUUUUGAGUUGUAUGCUAAGCGCUAUCUAUGGGUUGAAUACCGACUUUGUUUUUCGUGAUUCUUUCUAGCAGGGAUCGAGUUGGUUGUUUGUUCAAUCUCUGUUCAAGAUGUAUUGCCCAACUAUUCACCAAGAUGCCGAGGCCAGAAAGGGGAGGAUCUGCGUCCGAGUGAAAAUGCGGAUACAGAGAUCCAGCUUACACAUGCAUUCUGCUUCGGUGGAAAAGCGUUUCCUUUGCGGUUUUCGAUGGCAGAUAAGAAAGAUAGUUUUGGUUUUAUUGCUUCACUGGCUCAUAAAUGAAAGGGAUUGUUUUUUUUGUUUAACCUUAUAAUUGGUGGUGGAGAAUGAUAUCGAACAUUUGGCUUUAUUAAUCACAAGACCUCCCCAUCUGUGAAACUCGAUCAGCUCUUGGUUGAUGGGCAAUGCAUUUUGCAGAGUUAUCCUCGACAGUUGAUUAUCUGAAACGUACAACAACAAUAACAAACACUCAUGCCACUAACUAGAGUCGGCUGUACGAAUCUUAGAAUGCUACUGUGUUUGGUUUUGCGUAAGCUUCAAGUACCCUAUGUUUCUUCUUAAAGUCUCUUUUCUUGGUUUUCUUUACCUUUUUUGUCUUGAGCCUGUCUCAUAAUCGCGUUUUUUAACCGGAGCAUUUGCAGGUCUUUGUUAUGCAUGUUCACUCCGAUUUUCUCUCAUCUUUUCUUUAAUCUUCUCAUUCCUUGUGUGCCACGUAUCCAACGAAGCAUUCUCAUUUUCACUACACUCAUUUUUUGUACAUGUUUAUACUUGACCGCCCAACGUUUUGUACCAUAAAAUACUGUUGCCCUUAUUGUUGUCCUAUAAAAUUUAGUUGCAUACGCACAACAUACUUGAUGCACUCUUCCACUUCAUUCAGCUUGUAUUCAAUGGUUGAGAUCUCUAUCCAAUUUUUUGUUCUUUUGCAAGAUAGAUCCAGGAUAACGAAAGCGUCACUCUUUGGUACUUCUUGAUCUCCAACCUCACCCUUAUCUCAUUUGGACCCCUAUUUCCUUUGAACUUGCACUAUGUAUACUGCCUUUGACCUACUUAGGCGAAAACACUUAGAUUGUAACACUUCCUGCCAAACGUUAAGCUUGGCAUUUACUCUCUCCUGUUUCAUUUAUCAACGCUCUAUCAUCUGCGAAAAGGAUACACCAAGGGAUAUCUACUUGAAUAUAUCCUAUUAGCUCAUCCAUUACUAAUGCAAAAAGUGAAGGACUUAAGUUGAGCCUUAGUGUAGCCCUAUAGUUAUUGAAAAACUUUCCGUUUGUCCUCAUGAGUUCUUACUGUAUUCUUGGCUCCAUCAUACAUAUCCUUUAUUUCUUGGAUAUGUGCUACUCAUACUCUUUUUUUCUUCUAAAAUCCUCUAGAGAAUUUUACUUUGAAUUAAUUAUCAGAAACGUAGAAUUUACGAAAUCUUUUUAACAGGCAAUUCGGUUGUUUACUUCCUCUCCUGUGUUAAAAGCUUAAGCGUGUUUGGGCAAUAAUAGUACUCGGAUGAGGCUCACAGCAACUCAUAUUGCAUUCCUCUGUCCGAAGUAGCAGGCUUGUGUUGUAGGUUGUAGAAUCCCGGGGUGGGAUCAUGAUAUCAAAUUUGUUUUAAUACAGUUGUGUAUUUUGAAGUCCAGCGUCAAGUCGGGUCUGGUCUUCGGCGUCGGGAUGGGGGGAGUACAGAGUUUAGUCACGCAAUGAGAGAGAUAUGAAGAUGGAGCAAAAAAUUGCCCCGGCCUGGAUAGCGGAGUUUGUCUCUGCUAACGAUGGUUACCAUGCCGCUCCUCAUUGGAGAAGGCAAGGCGAGGCAUAUUGUUGGGUUUCAAGUUGCAUCAACAAAACAGGAUACAAAAUUCGCCAAUGACUCCGAACCACUUCAUCUCAAUAGUAUAGGGAACUUUUAAAAUUACUUGUUUUGUUUUGCUUCUUAGUUUCGACUUGUGUGGAUGGCAAGUUGAAAUUAAAUUAUUAUGAUUGGCACAUUGUGUUACUUAACUCAAUUUCUCUACUUUUUAGUGUAAAUGUUCGUUGUAUUAAAAAAAAUUGUUAUAUUUUGGUUGUUUUGAGUUGUUUAUAGGGAAACAAAAUGCGAAAGAGGGAGAAUAUUAGUGGGCGGAGCUAGAAAUUAACUUCAAGGAGCACACUACUUGAAUUUUAGCUCGAAUCUCACUAAACCAUUCGUAACUUAACUAUUGUCACAUAAUUUCUUGGAACUCAACUUGUAUCUCACUCAGCCUAACGUCAUUUAUAGUUUACAAUUUAGCUCAAAUCCUAACCUUUCUUUAUGCACCAUCCCAUAUAUUUUUCAUUUUAGUUUUCUGACUCAGCCCAGCCCAACUUAGAAGGAAACAUUGUUCCAGCCUAGCCCAGUCCACAUUCAAAAGCCUAGCCCAGUUUUGUCACUGAUUAAUUCUCUCAUAUACGGUGGGUCAUACAUAAGCCUUACUUGGUUUAGCUUCUACCAUAUUUUUUAUCUUCUCACACACUCCUAUUUAAACAUGUCCGUUAUUUUCGUUUGAGUUAUUCAUCUCCUUAUAUACAAGAUUUGAACUUAAGACCUCUGACUCAACCGAAGUACUAAGUGACAAUCUGUAGUAUUUUCUUCGAAUUGAACAAAUAAAAGAUUGAACAAAUAAAAGAAAGCAAAAAACUGAGCUAACAACUCACUUGGAAUAGUUUAUAGAGAGGUCAAAACUAAUCCAAAAUUUGAAAGAAAUAAGUUUCGAGAGAUGGACAUAGUGAAGCAGAGUCGAAGCAAAAGAUGCAGACAUGUUUGGGAAGAAAUGAAAGACGGUAGAAAUGCAUACCUCAAAAGGAGCAAGCAAAGCACCAUACUUGUUCUGAGGGUGCUCAGUCUUCCUUGUGUUUUGUCCACAAAACUUGAGAAUCCGUGGUCAUUUCAUCCUCUGUGUGUGGUGGGCAUCACAUGUUUCAUCAGAGAAACAUGGAGUUCCACGCUACAUAAAAGAGACAUUCCUUGGAAUAUUCCAUCCACAUCUGUCAACUUGUCCUUCGUUUGGCUUAACUGUCACUACAAACCAAGCACAACACUAGGGGCGAAAAAUGAAUUGCAAACGACAUUUUACUGUAGUGGUGGAAAAUAAUUAUGUUUAUGCAUUAUGGUGCCGAUUCGAUUCUCACCAAUUACUU